AUGAACGCUAGCUACAGGCUUAACACAUGCAAGUCGAGGGGCAGCAUUUCAGUUUGCUUGCAAACUGGAGAUGGCGACCGGCGCACGGGUGAGUAACACGUAUCCAACCUGCCGAUAACUCGGGGAUAGCCUUUCGAAAGAAAGAUUAAUACCCGAUGGUAUAAUCAGACCGCAUGGUCUUGUUAUUAAAGAAUUUCGGUUAUCGAUGGGGAUGCGUUCCAUUAGGCAGUUGGUGAGGUAACGGCUCACCAAACCUUCGAUGGAUAGGGGUUCUGAGAGGAAGGUCCCCCACAUUGGAACUGAGACACGGUCCAAACUCCUACGGGAGGCAGCAGUGAGGAAUAUUGGUCAAUGGGCGCAGGCCUGAACCAGCCAAGUAGCGUGAAGGAUGACUGCCCUAUGGGUUGUAAACUUCUUUUAUAUGGGAAUAAAGUUUUCCACGUGUGGAAUUUUGUAUGUACCAUAUGAAUAAGGAUCGGCUAACUCCGUGCCAGCAGCCGCGGUAAUACGGAGGAUCCGAGCGUUAUCCGGAUUUAUUGGGUUUAAAGGGAGCGUAGGUGGACAGUUAAGUCAGUUGUGAAAGUUUGCGGCUCAACCGUAAAAUUGCAGUUGAUACUGGCUGUCUUGAGUACAGUAGAGGUGGGCGGAAUUCGUGGUGUAGCGGUGAAAUGCUUAGAUAUCACGAAGAACUCCGAUUGCGAAGGCAGCUCACUGGACUGCAACUGACACUGAUGCUCGAAAGUGUGGGUAUCAAACAGGAUUAGAUACCCUGGUAGUCCACGCCGUAAACGAUGGAUACUAGGUGUCGGGGAGCAAAGCUCUUCGGUGCCGCCGCAAACGCAUUAAGCAUUCCACCUGGGGAGUACGUUCGCAAGAAUGAAACUCAAAGGAAUUGACGGGGGCCCGCACAAGCGGUGGAGCAUGUGGUUUAAUUCGAUGCAACGCGAAGAACCUUACCUGGUCUUGACAUCCACGGAAGUUUUCAGAGAUGAGAAUGUGCCUUCGGGAACCGUGAGACAGGUGCUGCAUGGCUGUCGUCAGCUCGUGUUGUGAAAUGUUGGGUUAAGUCCCGCAACGAGCGCAACCCUUAUCUUUAGUUACUAACAGGUCAUGCUGAGGACUCUAGAGAGACUGCCGUCGUAAGAUGUGAGGAAGGUGGGGAUGACGUCAAAUCAGCACGGCCCUUACGUCCGGGGCUACACACGUGUUACAAUGGGGGGUACAGAAGGCAGCUACCUGGUGACAGGAUGCUAAUCCCAAAAGCCUCUCUCAGUUCGGAUCGAAGUCUGCAACCCGACUUCGUGAAGCUGGAUUCGCUAGUAAUCGCGCAUCAGCCAUGGCGCGGUGAAUACGUUCCCGGGCCUUGUACACACCGCCCGUCAAGCCAUGAAAGCCGGGGGUACCUGAAGUACGUAACCGCAAGGAGCGUCCUAGGGUAAAACUGGUAAUUGGGGCU
rnacentral:rRNA from 1 species